UCUGGGACAACGGAAUCUGCGUUGAAUCCCAGCGUCGGAAUUUCUUUCCGAAAUUAAAUUUUGCGACCGUCACUAAACGCACCGUUUAUUUCAAAUUAACUAUAAUUUUAUUUCUUAAAGGUACUAAAAUUCACUUGUUUUUCCCUUCUGAACAUUUUUGACACUUCCCUAUAAUUUCCGAACUGUUGAGCAAAAAGAGGGAAAAUUGACGUUUUGUCGCCCUUUUAUACCAUUUCGACGAUGACAGAUUGGGGUUGCCACAGCUCUAACUUCUCGAUGAAACCAGGGUGCUGACAUAGUUGAUCAACGAUGAAGGAAUGUAAUCGAGGAAGCCCUCACAUAUAGCUGGCGUUAAUAUGGUAUCCACGACCAUGCUGCCCCUCCAGAAAUAGUAUUUCUGAUCAAUAUCGAUGAAGUAAAAGUGUGCUCCCUUUGCAUAAUAUAGAUUAAUGGUAAAAGAAAAGACACAGUAGCGGGUUUCAAACUUGAUUUUCAAUGAAAGGUCCAUCAGCUGCUGUUGAAUUUUGUGUGGAUCCGAGUUCUGGUUCCUGAAUUACAGGGUGAUACGUACGACCACGCAGCAAAUCCCGAUUCUAAAGAAUUCUGCGAUGAAUAUCUAGGUCACCAACAGUCAUUCAAUGUCUCUUUGGCCACACUGGCCACCAUCGACGGAUCCGGAAGCAUCCAAAUUCAGAAUAACGAUUAUAUUGGUUUCUCGAAAAUAGCUAGACCAAUUUGAUCAACUUAGUCUCAAAUGAAAGGUGUUGCGUCCCUGGAAACUGAUAUUAAAUUCCAUCUCCAUCCUUCUUCCGGCUCCAGAGUUACGAUACCGUGAUGAAUGCAAAAAGGUGCUCUUAUAUAUACUUAACAAAAUAUGGAAAAUUGGAGAAAAUCACGUCCUAGAAGAAUUGUUUAGCUAUGUUGUAGUGGAAAAAUAAAAAUUUUAAGCACAUGAUUGCAAAAACUGUGUGCUUUUUCAACCGGAAAAGCACACAGUUUUCCGAGCUGGAAAAUUUUGAAUUUUCCUUUUCGGCCAAUUCAUAGUAAAAAGUCGUGAUUUUUUUCCUUUUUUCAUAUUUUGUCAUUUUCUUUGAAAAUAAAAUAAAUAACCGCAAAAAAAUACGAAAAAUGCCGGAUUGCACGACGGGCUUAACAAUUUCAUUAUAAAUAUUUCAGAAAAAGAAUGAUUUUCAUUGACAUUUUGUUUCAAUACAUAUAUACUACUGGAGGUUGAAAGCAUUAUCGAAAAUUGUAAAAGCCUUUCUAUUUCGGAUUUAUUUGAUUAUAUCGUAAAAUUCGAAUUAUGAACGUAUUUUGUAAUGUGAAAUACAAUAAUAAUUUUUCAUCUCUUGAGAUACCGAACUAGAUGUGGAAUAAGUUGUUAUUGGAGGGAGCGGGCAUAGCGUAGUUGGUAAAUCGAUUGCCUCUAUCCCCAUAUGCGGGGUUGGGAUUGCGUACAAGCUCACCUGGGUUUGAAUCCCAACCCCGCAUACAGGGUUAGAGAUUUGUAUUAAGAGUUUUUCUUAAGUGAUUUUUCUAACCCGAAGAGGCGAAUGACCUUGAGGUUAAAACCUCUAUAAUAGAAAUUACAAAAGUUGAUAUUGUAUUGCUGGCUGGUUAAAUAGAAUAGAAUUAAAAAUUAUACCUUUCAACCGAAAUUAAAUUCAUUAAUCCAUUACAAACAAUCUGUAAACAUUAUUUCGUCUAACCUCCGGAGUGUUUCAACAAUUGAAUUCCAUACAUUGCACGUUAUCGGUGAAACAAAACUUCAACCAAAUUUAGUCGUCAUUUUGAAAUAUUUGUAUCGAUGAACUAGUUUUAGGGGUUUCGAGUUUCGAUCAAUUCGCUUCACCCAUCUUUCUAAAAUAAUUUGACAAAAAAAACAGAUUUUUUAACGCUGGAACCCUUCCCCCCUUAAAUUAACAAUGAAAUCAGUUGAAUUUCAGUUGCUCGUGUCUGAAACACUAGUAUAACGGCAUGAUGAACACAACGAAAGCAGGUAAGUAUCAGCAGCCACAUCCUUUCAGAUACCACCAGACCCAGGAAUUUCUGGAGUUCGAAUUCUUCGUAGUUGGUAAGUCUGGGACAACGGAAUCUGCGUUGAAUCCCAGCGUCGGAAUUUCUUUCCGAAAUUAAAUUUUGCGACCGUCACUAAACGCACCGUUUAUUUCAAAUUAACUAUAAUUUUAUUUCUUAAAGGUACUAAAAUUCACUUGUUUUUCCCUUCUGAACAUUUUUGACACUUUCAUACAAUUUCCGAACUGUUGAGCAAAAAGAGGGAAAAUUGACGUUUUGUCGCCCUUUUAUACCAUUUCGACGAUGACAGAUUGGGGUUGCCACAGCUCUAACUUCUCGAUGAAACCAGGGUGCUGACAUAGUUGAUCAACGAUGAAGGAAUGUAAUCGAGGAAGCCCUCACAUAUAGCUGGCGUUAAUAUGGUAUCCACGACCAUGCUGCCCCUCCAGAAAUAGUAUUUCUGAUCAAUAUCGAUGAAGUAAAAGUGUGCUCCCUUUGCAUAAUAUAGAUUAAUGGUAAAAGAAAAGACACAGUAGCGGGCUUCAAACUUGAUUUUAAAUGAAAGGUCCAUCAGCUGCUGUUGAAUUUUGUGUGGAUCCGAGUUCUGGUUCCUGAAUUACAGGGUGAUACGUACGAUCACGCAGCAAAUCCCGAUUCUAAAGAAUUCUGCGAUGAAUAUCUAGGUCACCAACAGUCAUUCAAUGUCUCUUUGGCCACACUGGCCACCAUCGACGGAUCCGGAAGCAUCCAAAUUCAGAAUAACGAUUAUAUUGGUUUCUCGAAAAUAGCUAGACCAAUUUGAUCAACUUAGUCUCAAAUGAAAGGUGUUGCGUCCCCGGAAACUGAUAUUAAAUUCCAUCUCCAUCCUUCUUCCGGCUCCAGAGUUACGGGUUGUGGAGUGCGAUCACAUAGAAAACUCCGAUUCAAACCGAUACCGUGAUGAAUGCAAAAAGGUGCUCUUAUAUCUACUUAACAAAAUAUGGAAAAUUGGAGAAAAUCACGUCCUAGAAGAAUUGUUUAGCUAUGUGUAGUGGAAAAAUAAAAAUUUUAAGCACAUGAUUGCAAAAACUGUGUGCUUUUUCCACAUCGGGUUCUCGGAAUUUUCUGAACCGAUUUGGCAAACUUGAUUUUAAAUGAAAGGUCCAUCAGCUGCUUUUGAAUUUUGUGUGGAUCCGUGUUCUGGUUCCUGAAUUACAGGGUGUACGAUCACGCAGCAAAUCCCGAUUCUAAAGAAUUCUGCGAUGAAUGUAAAAAGGUGAAUUUUUUUCCAAAAUGUAAACACAACUGUUGAAUUUGUAGAUCUAGGUCACCAACAGUCAUUCAAUGUCUCUUUGGCGACACUGGCCACCAUCGACGGAUCCGGAAGCAUCCAAAUUCAGAAUAACGAUUAUAUUGGUUUCUCGAAAAUAGCUAGACCAAUUUGAUCAACUUAGUCUCAAAUGAAAGGUGUUGCGUCCCCGGAAACUGAUAUUAAAUUCCAUCUCCAUCCUACUUCCGGCUCCAGAGUUACGGGUUGUGGAGUGCGAUCACAUAGAAAACUCCGAUUCAAACCGAUACCGCGAUGAAUGCAAAAAGGUGCUCUUAUAUAUACCUACCAAGUGUAAUAAAAAUGAAAGACAUUUCCAUAAUGUUAUAUUGUACGAACCAGCUAUUAAAUCAUAGUUUGUAGAAAUGAGAAAGGCACAAUUGCACCUCUAGGUGGAUUAAAACAGGUUUUUCAGUUCAAUAUUACCGUGGCUGUUUUUUUCUUUUUCAAAAUUUUAGAACUCGAAUAAUGAUGUCAUGUGAUGUAUAAUAAUAAAAUGUAAUAUAUGCAUUUAAAAGCUUUUAAUGAAUAUAAACAACGCACACAUUCUCGUGUUCAUGAUUGAGAAAGGCACAAUUGCACCGCUAGGUGGAUUAAAAUUGGUUUUUCUUUGGUAGUUUUGUAGGAAAUAUCGUAGAAACAGCAGGUUGAAAAUAUCGCUCCACUUUUGCGCAUCUAUACAUACAAAUUUUACUUUAGUUGUGUCUGCGUGGGUGGAAAAAUUGCUUCUAGUAAAAUGGAAAUUUUUCAACGAAAAGCG